CAGCAGAUGUUCUCUGAGUGUGUAUCACGUGCAGGAAGUAGCUCUGGGUCACGCUGACAAGCAAUAGCCGGGCUCUUAUCUGCAAAGAACCACUGAUUUUACUGGAAAGAUUGGAUACCACCCAUGAGAAGGAAAAGAGCGGUGCAAUGUGCUUUACAAAAUGAGAGCCAGAGGGCAGGGGAAGCAGAGGGAGUUCAAAGGACAGAAGCCUCUUGGAGAGGACUGCGCACUACAAACAGGUGCUCAGUGCUGUUUGUCCUUGUGCUGACGGAUCCAGGCACUGAGGAACACGGUAUGUCCUUAUGGAACCUUCACAGUUCUGCCAGGUAGGUGUCGUCUGUCUUCUACAGGUGAAGACCUGAGGCUGAGAGAGGAGUGCCUUGUCUCGAAUGUGUGCACCUGGUGGCUGCGGAUGGGAACCCAGGUAUCACUGGCUGCAAAGUCCGCAUGCUGUCCCCAGAAGAACCACCUGCCGUCAGAGGAUGAGCUCAGUUGUACAUGUUGAGUUUUCCAAGAUGGUGGACUUCCAGACUGGGAACUCAUUGAUGCUCCAUUGAUCUUUGUGUGACCCAAGAAAAACUCAGAGUUGUUCAGGCUGAUUUCAGUGCAGAGGUCGCCUCGGCACAGAAAUGGGAAUCUUAAAGCAGUUGUGCUGUCACGUGUCACCUUACUUCCCUGGAACUUCGGUUUUCUCUUUUAAAAAGUUUCAAAUGAUUUUUUUCUAUUUUAAUUUUUAUAUAUUUAAAAGUUAAAAAAUAUAUUUCCCAGUUAUCCAUUUCCUCUGAUUUUGCUUGAGGACUUGCCGCUUGCGUUCCCAUUGGGUGCAGUCCAGUGAAGGUGGGGUGGGGUUUACAGCCAGGAGUCUCCCUCACCAUAUCAAAGGGAGUCAUGUGACCCAAGUCAGACCCAACUGGAUGCUGCUUCCUCUGGAAAUGGAAUCUGAGGCAAAAGAAAAAAGAGGUGAUACAUGAGUAGAGCUCUGUUCUGUCCUCCCCAGUUCCCCCUGUGGGACCUUUCAUGUUAGGAU